UAUCAUGAAAGCGCAAGGGCCACUGACCAAUCCGGAGCAGGGAAUUGCAUUAGAUUGUGUUGACCAUCAGGUAAGUUUUCUCUGCAUAUACACAAUGAUAUUAAUUUUAUCACAGGAUUCCUACCGUUAGUUGCUUUGAUACCGGCGCCCGCCGCGGUGAAGAUCGCAAGAACCUGGUUGGAACAACAACAACUGGCACUUAUAUAAUGAAAGCGUAAGAGCCACUGAUCAAUCCGCAUUCCGCAGCAGGCAUAUUGUGUUUACCAUCAGGAUUCCCAGAACACCGUUAGUUGGUUUGAUACCAGCAGAUAUCGGCGCCCGCUGCGGAUAAGAUCGCAAAAAUGUAGUAGGGAACAAACAAUUUGCUCUUAUAUUAUGGAAGCGCAAUGGCCCCUGACCAAUGCGCAGCAGGUUAUAGCAUUAGAUUGUGUUUACCCGGAUUCCCGCCACACCGUUAGUUGUAGCAGCGAGUGCAGCAGGAUAGUAAAACUAAAUAGGUAGGAACAAGACAGGAGAAGCUAUCGGCAGACAUAAUCCCUAUUCGUAAGCUUACCG